GGCGAGCAGCCUCCUCCAGCACAUGCUCCUGCUGCCAUGAAGCUCUGCCUCCCUAUAAGCCAGAAAAAAUGGACACCUGGCCCUGGACUGAAAGCUCUGAAACUGUGAGACAAAGUAAAUCUUUUCUUCUUUGGAUUAUUUUUCUCAAGUACUUUGUCACAAUUAUAGAAAACCUCCAAAAAGUUCCCACCUCUUGAUACCAUCACCUUCAAGUUUAACUUCCAACAUGGUUUUUUGGAGGAGCACAUGUUUUCAAACCAGAACAAACACCAGCAAUUAUCUGGUUUCCCCAUGAUCUGAAUGUUGUGUUGCUUUUAGAGCAAUCAGAGACAUCCAUGCCGGUUUAUACCCACACCUUCUCAGAACUCCAGAAUGUCCUUUGUGGUAUCUUAAGACUGUCUCAGGUGCAUAGUUUCUGUGCCCUUGCAAAAGGCAUAGGAUUGCCUAUUCCAAUGCCCAUCGUUUCAUGGUCUCUUCUCUCCAGUGUACCUGUAGCGAACAAAGUCCCUUGGAUUCCAAGUGAGCUGAUGGCAGCACUGCUUUCUCUUUUCUUUGGGGUGUGAGUUGAUUGUGGUCAUAGUCACCUUCUUUUUCCUUCAAGACCACAUUCCCAUUCUAUUUGAAAAAUGUUUGUCUGGGUAACUUCCUCCCUUGGAAUGUUUGGCAUCCUCUCCACCCACCAUGCAGGACCACCCCUUCUGCCCAUGAUUGUCAUCACUGUAGACUAACACAUGUCUUCCAUUCCCAGCAUGUACUUUUUCUUCUUUCAAGGUACCAUAUAUGGUAUAUAAGAAAGUAAGUGAUAUGGAUGCUGACACCUUUCAGGUGAGGUGGCACAAAGGGAGGAGACAAAGCUUAAAUAUUUACCUUAGAUGGAACUUGACUUUGCUUGUUUGAGACCUUUAUUUAUUAGUUCCUAUAUACUUGGCCAUGGGUAAGGGAAAACGAAGGGAGGAGGUGGUAGUGAAGAGAAUGAAGUGAGGGAUUCUUGCAGACUCUUUUCCUCUAGAGCCUGGAGGCCCCAUUUGGAACUGCAUUGGGAAGUGACUAUCUCUUCAUUCACACACAGGCUUCCCCUGGGCAGUUCUUUCCUCUGGCACUUGAAUCAGAUGUGGAUAGAUUAAGCAUUUUCUCUUGCUGCCAAUGGACAUUUAGAAAGUUGGUUAGUCUCAAGUGCACCAUUACAACCUCACUUUUUAUUUUUAUUAAAAUCACAAACUUAAGUAAUGAGAAAUAAUUAUUUUUGGGGUGAGUCAGCUCUUUUCACAAGUUGGGUUUGUGACCAUUACCCACUGAGAGGAGGACAAUCUCAGCUAAGAAUCACGCUUAAUUAUAAAAACAAGGAAUGAUGAUGACAAUGGGCAAUUUGAGUAAUUAAAAUUAUUUAGAGAAGCAUUGAUUGGUUUAAACCAAAAUAUGCCUGAAAGCUUAUUUGUAUUUUAUAUAUAUUCACAUGACAUUCUUGUCACCUAGUCUUCUUUCUCAUUUCAAAACACUGGAGGAUAUUCUAUAUCCUGGAAUAAUAAUUGAGACUACUCCAUUCAAAUACUUUGAAUUUACGAGACUAGCUAACUACAAUUCUUUCAGUAUAGGAAAAGGAUAUUAGAAUUUUAGGGAAAACUGUUCCUGGUUUCUUUGCGUUAUGUUUAGCGGUUUUAUUUUUGUUGAAAUUCUCCAAAUUAAAAUGCAAAAGCUUAACUUCUUGGCUGGGUUUGCUUGCUUAACCUUAAUAAAAUAUAAGGCUCUGUUUCAUUAAUCAGAAACACACUAGACACAGUGCAUGAAUUUUAUCUUCCACUUUGUCCUUUGUAUUUCAGAAUGAUAAUAAUAAUAAAAAUUUAUAGGGGUUGGCAGGCCAGACAAUCCUGCCUCCAUUGUUUCUAGGAGGUUCCUUUGUAAAAUGGAUUUCUCAGACAGGCAAAAUGCCUUCAGGGACAAAAAUUCCUAUAAUCCUCUUCUCUGGAAAUCUUUAAAAAUAGAAUAAACUUUUAUUCAUUCGUCUGGGUGUGGUUUAAGCACAGUUCGUCUUAGGCAGAGGGAUGGUUUAACUGACCUCUUGAUGUUGCUGUAAGCUGCACAAUCACUUAAAUGGGGGAAUUUUCCUUUAAUCAGUGCCAGAUUUAAUUUAUCACAACAAUACAUGUUUUUAUGGAUGUAGUAAAACAAAAAUCAGGUGCAAUCUUCUUUUCCAUGGUAAAGUAAUAAAAUGGUUUAUUCUCAAAUUCGAGAAAGUAAAAUUGAAUCAGGAACAGAUACGAUGUUUUCCCCUUCCUCAAAUUUGUACCACAGAUAGUGAAAUGUGAUGAACAGCAUGCAAUGUAAAACAGUAUCUUUUCAAACAAUUGGACCAAAUCAGCAAAGCCGAACCAUAUGCCUCAUCAGGACCACCUUCAUGUUCCUCUCAUGAAUCUGAAGCAGAACAUCUGGACAGAUGGAGAGCACUGACCACACUGGGAUGCUGAUGGGCAUAGACAGGAUGGGCUCUGGGAGGGAGGGGGGAGAAUGAUUGGACAGAUAUGGUUGCAACUGUGUCGGCAUAGGCUGUUAUGCAUGCAUCAUUCUGUCCUUUUCCCAGAUUCGCCCUGGGCGACCAUAAGUCCCCUGCUAUUUAAUCCUCCCUGCUUGGAGUGAUUAUAUUAUGAAAGUUUUCAAUUUCCACAGAAAUGUCAAAGGAAAGAAAAGUGUUAUCAUUUUAGCACAUGGAUCCUUAAAAUGCAUGCAUGUCCCCACAUACCCACAUGCUCAUGACAAUGGGCCAGGUUUAAAUAUUUCAGUUGUAGUCAAAUUCACAUUUAACUGAUAAACUUAACACUGUUAAAUCAUAGUUAAGGACGCAUUUCCCAAUUCUUUUUAUUUGUCAAGAGAGACUCCAAAGUUGUUUUUUAACAGGUAAGGUUUAUUGAAGUAUUGUUUAUCUGAAAAUAUACCCAUUGUAUACAUUCAAAUCAAAUAAAUGUUUUUUAGUAAAUCUGUAGAAUUGUGUAGCACUCACAUUUUUAGAAUACAAUCCAGUUUUAGAAUAUUUUCAUCCCUCCACCAAGUUCUCUGUGCCCACUUCUCCUAUCUCCAGUCCUAGACAAGCAAUAACUGCUUCCUAUGCUAUAUAUUUGUUUUUUCUAAAAAAAUUCAUAUAAAUUAAGCCACGGAAAAGUUAUCUUUUUUGAAUGUGUCUUUCAUUUUGCAUGAUAUGUAGGUUUAUUUGUCUUGUUGUAUAUCAGUAGUUUGCACCUUUUUAUUGCUGAAUAAUAUUCCCAUGUUUGAGUACACUGCAAUUUUAAAGUUAAUUCUCCAUUUGACAGACACUUGGCUUGUUUCCAACUUUUGGCAUUAGAAUAUGCUAUUGUGAAGAUUCAUGUACAAGUCUUUAAAUAAACAUAGGUUCUCAUUUCUCUUGGUUAGAUAACUAAGUGUGGAAUUUCUGAGUCAUAGGCUAACUUUACAUUUAACUUAAAAAAAAACCCAGAAAAAAUGGGCUGGGGAUGUGGCUCAAGCGGUAGCGCGCUCGCCUGGCAUGUGUGCUGCCCAGGUUCUAUCCUCAGCACAACGAGCAGAACAAAGAUGUUGUGUCCGCCGAUAACUGGAAAAUAAAUAUUAAAAUUCUCUCUCUCUCUCCCUCUUUCGCUCUCUCUUUAAAAAAAAAAAAACCAGAAACUUUUUCCAAAAUGAUAUAUAUAGGUUCCAAUUUCUCCAUAUCCUUGUCAACACUUAUUAUUGCUAGAUUUUGAUUAUUGUAACCUAAGAGAGUAUGAAGUAGUAUUUUAUUGUGAAUUUAGAUAUUAAAUAUCUUUUCACAUGCUUGUUGGAUAUUUGUAUAAAUUGUUUAUUAAUUUUUAAAGGGGGUUGUUUGUUUUUAGAAUUGUAGGAGAUCUUGACAUAUUCUGGAUACAGAUUCUUUUUGAGAUCUAUAUCUGAAAAUAUUUUCUAUCAGUCUGAUUUGUCUUUUAACUUUAAUAGUGUCUCUUGAAAAACAAAUUUUAAAAUUUUGAUGAAGUCCAAUUUAUCUAUUUUUCUUUUAUAGCUCAUGACUCCAUGUCUGAUCUGGCAGUAAACUUCAGUUUCUAAGAACAGGGAAGUAAAAUGGUUCCAAAUACAGUAGUCCCUUACCAUUUUCCUUAGGACCAUAAAACUUUAAGGAAACCAAAAGCAUCAAAACAUAUUCUCAAAAAACCAAUUAGGGAACCCCUAAUUCCAUCUUUUGCCAACUUAACACAAUUUACCUUUAAAGAGUUAAAGUCUUGGGUAGGUUAGUAGUUCAUAUAGAGCAAAUGUGAAGGUUGUUAUUGAGAGCAAGACUGAAGGGAUAAUACUCCUUGCAUGACUAAGUCUAGUUACCAGGGUAUCUUGAUGUUAGCAUACACUAAUCAUAUAUAAAUAAUCAAACCACACAAACUUACUUUUUUCUGAAAAGAAAAAACAAUAUAAGCUGCUACAAGGUUUGUAGUUGGAGACAAAGCUUUAUUUUCAAAUUAAUGAUAUCCAUAAUUAUUUUAUUAUUGUCUUUUUCUCAGUGUAAUGUGGGUUAUUCCUUGCUGAUAUUGCUAUUAUGAAAACAUUUGAAAUAUUUAACAGAUGGAUGGACUUGAAAGAAGAUAGAAAAGAGGAAGUUAAGAAGCCUGGGCACAGCCCUGGAAUUAGAGUUGAAAUACUGCAAGAGGUAUAGCUUCGGUGAGCCAGUUUAUUACACUAGACCAGCAUUUAUAAGUUGAAUAUACUCUGAAUCAACUAGGAGAACCUAUCAACCUUUACGUAUAAAUUGGAAAAAAAAAUAACUGAGCAAAAAAUUUUUACAAAUAAAAUCCAUUUUUAUGAUGAGGUUAAUAUAAGUUUAUUUAUUUUAGAAUAUAUAGAUAAAAAUCUGGACUUAUAUGAAAACUAUGGCAGACUUCUUAGCGAAACUAACAGAUUAAUUCAAUUCCGUGCAUACAGUGGAAUUAGUCUCCUUGUUUGUCUCCUGAUCUGACAAGCUUGUUCAUUGAAAUGAUUAUUUUGUUGCAUUAUGGUGGGAUGGUUGAUAUGAAAUUGGACCCACCAGAUUGAAGUUAUUCCAAGUCCACAUCACUUUACAUGUUGAAUGAGAGUCUAGUUUCUUAGUGAUGAUUGUCAUGGCUGCCAUUAUAGGAAGAAACUUCUGAGAAAGUGAAAGGUUUUCUUUGGUCGGAGUUAAGCAUAGUUGUUGCCUUCUAGAAUGAUGAUUUAAGCGAGUCACCUGUGAACAUGAGGUUUUGUUUAAAUUUGUACAUGAAGCAAGAAAGAUGAUGCCUGACAAGGAUGAGUUGCUGCGUUAAUUAAAUUAGCAGUGGAUAUUUUACUAGCUUUAAUUAGUGUAAAAUAAGCCACAGAAAUAAAGAUAACGAUUAAAGCGUGCUAAUCUGAUUAGAAUCACAAUGUGCAUUGUUAUAGGCUACUGGAUAGUAGAAAAUCACCAGACUACGGCUGGAAAGAUGCAGAGACCAUCUUUUCAGAAAAGAUGGCUGAUAAAGGUACGCACACCUGGAGCUGCUAUUGGAUUGUCAGUGUGGGGAGAUUGUGCUCGAGAAAUACCAUUAAAAUUAUGGAUCAUCAAUGAAUGGAGAAGAGCCCUUUUCUACAGGAAGGUGUUAAAAACCAUAACUUCUCAUGGUAGAGGGAGCUAAACCUGAUUCUAGUGCUUUUACAAAUAGAGCAAGAUUUUAGGCAGUAGGACCCUGCCUCUCCAAGUUUCAAAUUCAUAGAGAGCCUACAAAGUAGAAGGAUUGUAAAAUGACUGCACUCUCCUCCUCCUGACCCACACAAUUUAAGCAAUGUCCAUUUGAGACAGGCAGGCAAAGGAUAUGCUAAUAUGUGUUGAGAGAAAUCCUAUUUUAUCAAAUUCAAGGCAGUGCAAUUCACAUCCCUAAAUUAUCAUGUAAAUCUUCUCCAAUGCAUGGUUCCUCAGUCUCACUAGAAUUACUUUUAGCUUAAGAUGUAGAUAGGCGGAAACAGUCUAUUGUUUUUCCAUUAGUUCUCCUGCCUUCCCCAUUUCCUGGUGUGUAAAAUUUGCAAUCACCUCAAAGGCUGAAUGGUAUAACAGGCAAUCAGUCUUUUGUCAUUUUCUAUGUGUGUAUACAGAGCAUCAUUUAUGAGAAUUUAGUUGUAUUUAGGUAAUCAGAAACCAACAGAAACUUCCCUAUUAAACCAAAUCAUAACCAAAGCUUUUAGAAGACACUCAAUUAUAAAUUAAAUAAAAUUGUUGGAGCCUAUACUGACUUAGGCUUCCAACCAUUGGCAUUGACUAUUUCAAAUUUUUAUUCCUUUGGUGUGGACUUAUUGUAAAAAUGGAUUUCCCUUCACUUUUGCAAAUGCCAAGACAUUAGAAGAAAUUCACUUUAAGUGAUCAGUAUUAUGAUGAAAGUUAUGGCUGUUUCAAAUCAAAUCAUUUUAAAAAAUGGACAUUUUAUUGUCAACUUGAUGGCAUAGAUUUCAGCCGCAAUUGUGUCAGCCAGCCUAUUGAAAUGAUUUAGUUCAAAAUAAAGCAUUAUUCAGUAUAGAUUUUUCAUUAAAAAUACUAAGAGAAAAGAGUUUUUUCUUGUGCUUCAACCUAGAACAUAAAAAGAUGGAGUGAACAAUUGCUGAAAUACACUUGGAUUGAAUUUAUUCAUUUAAUUCUUUAUAUGUAUCUAAUUCAUUAAUUAUAAAUCACAACAUAUAAUUCAUGGCCAUCAUGAAACAUUAUGUGAAGUUCAAUUUCAAUUAGCUGCCAUGUAUAUGGUAACAGAAAUAUAUGUGUGUGUGUGUAUUGACUUUUUAUCUUUUGUAUAUAUAUUUACAUAUAUAUAUAUAUAUACAUUUACAUAUACUUCAGGCAAUGAAUAGUGGUUGAGAACAUCAGAAGAUCAUUAUUAUGCCUUGUGUGUUUGGUAUCAUUUUCAAGGAGUAUAUAUACUCCAGUGAAUAGGUAGGCUAAUUGUUUUUCUUAGAUUUUUAAGAGACAUAUUGAUAAUGUGUGAUCAAUACGGAGACUUAAAGAAGCCAACAAUAACUUGGUAAAAUAUUGCAAUUUCCUGUAAGCUCACAGUCUGUUCUUUCUUCCUCUCUUCCUCCACUUCUCUGUGAAAAGAAAUUGAGUAGGGUGAGUAAGACAGGCACCUGGAAGUGGGGAAGGCCAUGGCACAGUGCAGUUGCAGUUGCUUGAGCAAGUUGAGAUGGCAUCUGUGCCGACUGGGUGGAGUGUCAUAGCCUACUCAGGAUGAGUGGGGCUUUUGUGCAGGGAGGGGCACAUGGGAUGCUAACAGAGGUUCAUAGAGUCAGUGUGGGGGAAGAGGUCCUUCUUACAAGGAAGCAGGAGUUUGGCUGGCCUAGUGAUAGGUGGGGAUGGAUGACUGAGGUGGAGGAGAAAGCCCACCUGUGGAGAGGGGAGGAGUGGGGCCUCCCCCACCCCUGUGUUUGGACCUCUAGUUGGGUACAGAGAGCAUGUGUAUGAUUUUGCAAGAAGUCCUGAAGCCCAAGAAUGGCAGAAGGGUGGCUGUGGGAGGGCUACUGGUGAUGUGACCCAGCAUGGAUCAUAAACCUGAGAAGUGGGUGAGGGAGAAUCCCUGCAGGAUCUAGGUAGUGGCAGCAGCAGCAUGGAUACUGGAGCCCAAGUGGUAUGAGGUGGACAUUUGUACAAGGAGUGUUGCAGAACAACACUGGGAGAAAGAUAGCAUCCACUCGAAGACGGAUGAUGGAUGGUGGUUUGGUGGGGAAUUGGUACUCCUUGGGGGACAUAUUGAGUAAAUAAGCACAGAGAAGAAAAAGGAGAUCAGGUUUUGCACCGUUGGAAAUAGGGAAGAAGUGGAAACUGCAAUGAACCCUGUGGUGUGAGACUGGAAUUGUGGGUAUUGCUUUAAACUCAAGGUUUUGAAUAUGUAGAUAUAGACAGGGCUACACAUAGGUAAAUAAAUAUUAGCAGGGAUGCAGGUGUACAUACAUUUAUAUGUGUAGCAUGUGCAUGCACACACAUGCCAAUAUUCACUAGCUCUGUCAAUGGAAGGGCCUGAGUGCAGUGACCCUCUAGUGUUGAGAGCCACAGCUGAAAGGGGCCCCAGCAAACUUUCAGACUGCCAGCUGAUGAUUGGCUCACAGCGGCCCAGCAACUUCUAGCUGAUUGGCUCCUCUGCAGUGAUGCUCAUUGGGCUGUUUCCCUGCCCUUUCAGACCACGGAGCUGCUCAUUGGGGGACUUUUUGGCUCUGCCCACACGACCCAGCCAAUCGGCCUCAAGAGCAGGAGGAGUGGGGGAGGUUGGGAGGCUUGUGGGAAGCCAGUGGUGGCAGUUGGGCUCUGAAGGUUUUCCUGAGGAGCUGUUUUGUUUGGCGUGUGUGGUUCUAAAAAUAAAGUUCGUUUCUUUUGACAAGUGGCUCCUGAAUUGUGCCCAGCCAGACUGCAGCACUCUAGCACCACUGAGUCCAUCUUGAAUCCAGAUAUUGGUUAUCUGAAAUCCAUUUUCUAACAGAAGAACUAGGAGUCUUAGGAGACAUGGCUAUUCCAGGGAUGGAUCAGAAACAUAAAAUAAACAUAGUUCAUCUCAUUAUGCUAAAAAGAAAGUUCCCAAAAAAUGAUGAGUACAUUUCAAAAGGACAUAGAAGUCAGGUAGCUAAAUUGGGGACAAUUUUAGCAUCAAGACAAAUGACAGAAAACCUCUUCCUUAUAGUAGGGUGCCAGCUGAUUAAUGUAUAAGGAAGAAGAGAAUAAUUUGUUAGCCAUCACAAUAAUAACUGAGAUUAGAAAUGACAAUGGAUGCUCAGGUAGUGUAGAAAGUUUGAUAAGGAAUGCCAUGUUGUCUUAAAAUACUCAGCACAGGGACAUAGUAACCUUACAUUGAAGAAAACUGAUGGACUCCAACUUAAUCAAGUGAUCAAGGUAACCACUCCACUAACAAUGGGACAUGUUGAAAUUUUAUGACAUUCAUCAGGGUGCCAUGAGAACACAGCAUCUGCCCACAGUAUGUAACCUGAAUGCACUCCUAAGGAGACAGAGCCAGACAAAGCCAGAGUGAAGGACAUUCUUCUGAGUAACUGGCCUGUCAUCUUCAAAAGGACGUGUCCCUGUCAUGAAAUCCAAACAAACCCUGAGGAAUGACUGGACACUGAAAGCCAUGAAAGAGACCAAGUAGGAUGUUUCUACUAAAAUGUACGUUCUUGUUCAACUGGUGAAACUUGAAUGCUAUGUGUGGAUUAGAGGGUAAGAAUAUAUAAAAUCCAAGUUCUUCAUAUUGUGAUUUUCAUAUUGAGGCUCUGUAGGAAAAGAUAUUAGUUAUAGGAAAUACAUUAUAAAAUAUUUGGGGGAUAAUGGAGCAGCAAGACAGCAAAACAGCAAAACUAUGGAAAGUUUGAGAAUAUUUCAAAACAGAAAAAAAAUCUGAAAAUCUGUUGUUCUUUUUUUUUUUUUUCUGUAAUGCUGGCUCUGCUAUGAGCUGGCUAUUUGAGAGAAGGAAAACCAUUUCGUCUCUUUAUUUCUCCAUUUUUUUUCUUUUCUUAAUGAGGUAGUUGGACUAAAGUACCUUAUAUUCCCUCCUAGAUCUAAUGGCUUGGUGUUCUCAGAUGUCAAUCAAAACCUUGUACUUAGGGGUUAGGCAAGAAUGGGGUAAGUGGUAAAAGCUUUCCAGAAGAGGAAGUCUUGUGGUUGCAUUUUAUGAGAACUGGAACUCCUGCAGUGCCAGGCAGGGGACAAGGGAGUACAAGAAACAAAAAUGGUACAACCAAAGAAUUGGAGGAAGUUUAUACAACAGCAGGAGACAAGAGGAUUUUUAUUUUUUGGGGGGGUUAUUUCUUGUUCAGCAAGAAACCAUUUUCCUUCUUUCUUCUUUUCUUCCCUCCAUCCCCACUUUUCUCCCUUUAUCUUGAAAAAUAUUUCCGGAGCAUUUUUCACAUUCAAGGCACUUGGUGAAACACCAGGGAGUGCGAUCACAGUCUACUGGAAGAGGAAAGACCACAACACAAAGACAAAAGCUGCUUCAACUUCAUUGCACUUCAACCAUUUGGUAUUCCGCCUCCGCCACUCUGAGGGUGACAAUUGAUUCAGCCUCUUGAUCAACAGUGUGCUCCUUCCUACGCCAACCCAUUUCUUCCCGCUUAUGUGAUUCUUUUAUAGACANNNNAACCAAAGAAUUGGAGGAAGUUUAUACAACAGCAGGAGACAAGAGGAUUUUUAUUUUUUGGGGGGGUUAUUUCUUGUUCAGCAAGAAACCAUUUUCCUUCUUUCUUCUUUUAUUCCCUCCAUCCCCACUUUUCUCCCUUUAUCUUGAAAAAUAUUUCCGGAGCAUUUUUCACAUUCAAGGCACUUGGUGAAACACCAGGGAGUGCGAUCACAGUCUACUGGAAGAGGAAAGACCACAACACAAAGACAAAAGCUGCUUCAACUUCAUUGCACUUCAACCAUUUGGUAUUCCGCCUCCGCCACUCUGAGGGUGACAAUUGAUUCAGCCUCUUGAUCAACAGUGUGCUCCUUCCGACGCCAACCCAUUUCUUCCCGCUUAUGUGAUUCUUUUAUAGACAGGUGACAUGUGCCCUUGUUUUCAUUGAUAGCUGUAAAUUUUAUCUGUGAAAGGAGGUGCCUUAGUCAAGUAGGCAGGACUCUAGAGACUUUAUCUGCUGAUGACUGGGAAAAACAUGGAAUUCAUCUCUUUCGAUUUUUUAAGCCUCAAAGAAAUCCUGCUUUCCCUUUCCUCUCACAGGGGAAAGCUACAAUUUAACAAUUUAUGUGUGAAGUGGAUAAUUUUAUAAAGUAAAAUUAGGAAAUACAAUAUGAAUUGGGUUCUUCUUAAGGGUAUAAAUUAUCCUUUUAAGGUGGUAAAAUGAUAACGUCUAUUUAUAUAACAUUUUAUUCUAACCUCAAGGAUGUAUAUAUGCCAGUGAAAAUCAGUAAGGCAUUCUUAAAAUAAUUUUAAAUCCUUUAAAAUCCAUGGUGUUUUCUUUUUGGAUAGCUUUGGAAGAGUCAUGGAAAAUUAUAGUGCUUGAAUAAAUUUUUUUUUUAUGAAUUUCCAAAUAAAUUUUUUCGUAACGUCCAUCCUUGUUCAUCAUUAAGCCUACAUAGAAAGGACUGAAGCGGCCAUUAAGCAGUGGCUCAAAGGCUCUCUGUUUUAAAGUACUCUCUACUGUUCCAACCAAUAAUGUGUCUAUUGUUUUGGAAAAUGCUAAUUGUUAAAUUGAUUAUGAUAUUCAGGUUCUAACAGUCCAGUUAAACACUGCACAAUGUACCAUGUGGUGUUGGAAAAUAGCUUGUUGUUUGAUGCGCUGUGAUAGCAGAUCUACAUCUAUCUCAAUUAUGAAAGGUUGUUUCAGUGCCACGGUUGUUUUUCUAGAUGUGAAUAGCUCCGACCAGAGAAGGGCAGUGCAAGAUUUUACAUUAUGCUUAUUCUUUUCAUUACGGAACUCGCCCAAACUAACAGAUGCUGAGCAAGGAAAUUACAAAUGUUCUAAGAUUCUGCGGGUGGCUGAGAAAGCCCAUGGAGUGUAUAGAGAGCAUGUGGCUCUGGGAGUUUCUGGCUUUAGCACUCCAUGGCUUCUUUAGGGUCCCAUCUUGGAAGUAAGGAUUUACAAAACAAAGAAGUUGCUGAGUUCCAGCUUUUGGGAAGCUGAAAUACCCCUAUGUCAAAUUUUGUGUUUAGGACUUUGGUUAAUAAAGGGAAAGACUCACCAAUAUUCUCCCACUAGUCUUUUAUCAAAUAGUUACCAAAGCCCUUUGACAGCUUGUGUAAUCAGGAGUUGAUGAUCUAGCCUAAUACUGGGAGACAGACUAGUGAUAAAAUUACUAAAGCAAACCUAUCGUAAUGCCAUAAUAUAACAAAAUGUAAUGCUGGGUCCUAGAGCUGAUGUUGAGUCAGGGAAAAUACUGCUAUAAAGAACAUUGGAAAAUUUACUGAUAUUAAAUUUACUCACUGUGAUAAUAAUACUGUGGUUAUUUAGGAGAUUACCCUUGAUCCUAGGAGACAUGCAGAGGUUUUGGGGUCAUGAUAUCUACAACUCAUUUUCAAAUGGUUAAAAAAACAAAAAGGAUGUGUGUGUGUGUGUGUGUGUGUGUGUGUGUAUGUGAACAAGAGUAAGAGAGAAAGAAAAAGCAGAUAUAUCAGAAUGUUUACAAUUGGUGAAAGUAAUACAUGGGUAUUCCUUUAUGAUUUUUAUAACUUUUUGAAGGUUUGAAGCUAUUCAAAUGAAAAUAGAAAAAAAAAUAGUUAAGUGGGAUAGCCGUGUGUAUGCAGUGCUACAGGGAUGAAAGACAAUUAUGUUUGAGAUAAUUAUAAUAGCUAGUCUAGUGAAACAAAGUUUCAAGUUAUUUAAUUUUAUAAGUUUGAAGCCCAGAAGAAAAAUGUAUUGGUGACAAGAGCCUGAGAAUUCUGAAAGUGGCACUAAUCACACAAUUCCGCAGAACAAGGUAAGAGGCAAUUUAGACCAGGCCCAGUUUAUUAACCUCUCUCAACCCCCAGGAGAAAAGCAGGAUUAUUUUGAGGCACAGUGUGGUUAUAUAACUCACCUCAGGUCACACAGCAAGUAGCUGAGUCAAAAGGUCAAAAAUCACACUUUUGCCAUUCAGUCUCUACUUAAGUACUCUUGUACUUCUUCCAAUAAUUUUGUGUUGAAUUGAGUUUAGAUAUUUCAUUUAAGACAUUUUUCCAUCUACUUUUUCAAGUUUUAUUUAAAGCAUCCAAAGGAAUCCAAUUAUGGUUAGAUGAUUAUUGAAAUAGCCAAAUUGAAACUGCUGAUCUGAUUACUUCUGUAGUGCUAAUUAUUCUGAUUUUUCCUUCAUCAUGAUCAUAAAUGACUGUAAAUGCUUUGUCUGGUCACUGAUUUUUGAAGACUUUCAGUGCAAUCGGAUCUACUCUGCUGCAAUUUGAAUUGUUCAAAAUGGUAAAACAGGAUAUAUUUUAAUGCAUAUCAAGUCUAUGCAUAUAUCUUGAAACAAAAACGAUUCAAUUCAUGGUUAGGAGGACUGAGAUUAAAAAAACAAAAAGAUGGUAUUGAACAAACCUUCUCCAAUUCUUCAUCCAAGCUGUUCAUCUCAGGAGCAGUGUCACCAGAAUGAUAUCAGAUCCCCUUGAGGUACGGCAAGACUGCUUAUUUUAACUUUAGGAAAAUAUAAGUGUUUGAGAAGAUAGUCAAAUGUAAAAUCGUGGAUAUUUUCCUUUAAGGUUCAUAAGAAAGACAAGGGGCAGUCACUUAGAUGAAGAUCUAUUUGAUAGAAAAUUGCAAACACUAAAGUGCCUUUAGAAAAAUUCUCCCUUAAGAUUAUUAGAAAAAGAAAAGAUGACGGACGAGGAGAGAGGUGAGACUUUAAACUGAAAGUAGUGGUAAUCUUCUGCCUUCUGCAAUUUGGGGUAAAGCAGUCUUGCAUUUUAUUCCACUGAUGUUUGUUUCUUUUCACUGCGAAGAUUCAACCUUCAGAGCAGAACCUGACAGGUUGUGCUCUGUUAAUCUAGCCUUCUGGGAAACUGUCUUCAGUUGAAUAAUAGCAACGAAUCUCUGAGCUCACGCCUGUUCUCUGUGCUCAUUCAUCUCAACCAAGCUGCAGCAGAUAUCUUAAAUGAGCCAUAUAGAAGAGCAUUUCACAAAUAACUUAAACUUGAAGUAGUUUUGAAUAAUGUUGCCUUUAGUUUUUAUUUCUGGGUUUUAUUAUGUUCAUCAUGAAGUUUAAUGGAAAGUAUUUUGAGAGAAGGAAUUAAAAUGUGAAAAAUUUCCAGGAUCUAAAUGAUUUAAAUGGUAAUCCAAAACAUUUCUUCUGAGAAGUAUUAUUGUUUUUGUGUGUGUGUGUGUGUGUAUGUGUGCCAGAUAAGAGCAUAAUUGUGCAUCAUCCCAAUCAAAAAUCUUGAGCACAUUAGUGUAUUGAAAAGUCAUGAAGUUAACUAUUUAUAUUUAAUAUACUUCUUUGGAUAUUCUCCUGUGAUAAAUAUAGGCUAUAGCCCUUGAAUUCACUCUUUGGUUACAUGGAAUCUAUAAUUUUUAGAUAAUGAUUAGUUGAUUUUCUAAUUUUUAUUUUUGCAUGGAAGUAUUGUAUCCCUUAGUUGUGAGGCAUGCUAGGGAUGCCAAAGACAAAUCCAGGUGUUGAGGUUCACCUUUGGGAGGACUGGCUCCAUGUGGCGAAAGCUAGUGUUUAAUAGAGCAGUGUCCAGGGAGCAAUGGUAACUCUGGGGACAGUGAUGUGUGAUAAGGUUGCUGUCCUAGAGGUUUACUCUCUUGAAUAGGACAUAAAGUCACCAGACAGGGGUAAAGAUGCAGUUGGUGGAUGGUAUCAUUUUAAUUUCAGAGAAAUAAAGGAAGUCCUGUCUUUAAGGAUCUGGCAUGCAGUUUGGGGCUGGAAAGCUGGUAAAUUCUUACUGGCUUCAAGCUCCAUCCAAAUAGGCCAAAUUUUAGGGCAGGACUCCAGUCCCAUUGGCAGGAUUGUAGGUUCUCUCAGGAAUAAAAGGAAAAGGCCAGUUCUUGGGAUGAAGAGCUGUGUUGGGCAAGUUUUAUGGUAAGCCUAGGUGGAUGCUGAAUUGUAAAUUGUAUUCUCCUCUGCUGGUAGUCCUGGGGUUCAUUUUCAGUUAGGAUUAAUUCAGGUAUUCGGUUAGACUAAAUUUUCAGAUAAUCAUUGGGACUGAACCAAGCAUCAAGAGGUAGGACCUGAUGGUUGAUAGACUACUAUUUCUAUGCCAGCUUCCAGAUCUUAGUAUUGCAAUGGUAUAGUGUACAUGCUCAGAGUAGGUAUUGAUUUGACAGUUGUGAUUCAUUCAAUAUGAUCCCCUAAGUAUACCUGAGUUAAUAGUGUAAAUGGAUGUCCAGAAUCCCCAUCUUGGCUAUUGAGAAUGGCUUUAGGAUGUAUUUAGACUAAAAAUUUUAUUUAUUUUCCUACUUUUGAAAGUGAUCAUUUAAAAUAUUUCCUUUUAGUACCCCAUUAACUAUACUUAAAUAGUAACAUUCACCUUCUUUAAAACUGAAGUAAACCCUACUUAUUGCUUUACACCAGUCCUUUGGCUAGCAAGAAUGCAACAGUAGUAAGGUUCACCACAUUGAAACAUUUACCCCCCUGAGGCUGUCUUCCUGCUGAGUUCAGAGUCAGACACUGCUUGCUCUCAUGAUUAAAAAUGAGAUAUUUUUCACAUAUACACAUGAUGUUAUUGAAGCUAUGGGAAGAAGUCCCCUUUGAGCAUUUGUAGAGAAGAUUUGUUCCGUCAUUCACAUCUGCUCAACUCAUCUUAUGGAUGCUGACUGUAUUUGCAGUUAGUGGUGAAUUUUGCCAUUAGAUAGCAAGUUUCUUUCCACUUGCCCACUUGCGACAAUUCACAGUUCAGUGUAACCAAGCAUAUAUAUAUAUUUUUUUUUUGAAUUUCAUUUUUUCCCCUUGCGUAUGGGCUUUGUGAGUCAGAGUUUUCUUUAUAAAAUUUUUACUUUCAGAAAAUUUCCUAGUAAUUACUAAGUGCAAUCACCUCCCCCCACACCAUGACCUACAUGAAAACCAAGACUCAGAGAUCUGAAAUAAUAUUGCCUGAGCUCAGUUGCUAUUACAUGAAUCCUAAAAUCCUAUUUUUCAAACUAUAUCUAUUUUUUUUAGAAAACAUUUAUAUUUUAUAAACAUACUACUGAUUUGCAAACUAUUGAAAAAGUGCUUUUUUGACUUUUUUUAAACCUCUGUCUCUAAUGAUUAGAUUUGUUUGAUGGCCACUUUUUCCUGGAUUCUUUUUACCAAUGUACUAUUAUUCAAUUAAAUCCACUGUCAAUUCCAUAACAGUGAUGAAGAUAUCCGAAUACUGUCAAGAAGGUAAGUUUUUAUGAAAUUAAAUACUCAAAUGACAAAUUUAAAGAAUAUUAGCCAAAUUUUCAGAUGUUUCCUAAAUCUGUACAUCUGUGGAAUUCUGUGGAGAAAUUUUCAGAUUAGUGCCUGAAAGGCUUAACCAUCAUUGGAAGGCAGCUUCCAAUGAGAAGCUUUUUAAAAACUUUUCCCAUGUUAUUUUAAAUUAAAAAAAUCAAAAGACUAAUGAUGCUGUCCAGAAAUACUGAUUUAAUUGUUUUUAUUAGAUUAAAUUUAUUAAAAUGGAUCUUUCUUACUGUCUCAUCUCUUACAAUGCAAUCACAUUUACGUGUGUAUGAGCAGAGUAUUCUCAAUGGUGUCUUCAGAUUUACAUCAUUGAUUACUUAACACAACCAUUAAGUCCAUUAUUAAUUUAAUACCAGCAAAUAUAAGAUGAAUAAUUACUAAAUAUUAUCCAUUAAUAUGUACCUAGGGCCACAAUGUUAUACAUUUAAAUUAUCUCUGAUUAUCUGUCAUUUUCCUUUAUAGAUACAUAUUAUAUUAACAUACUCAAAUAUCUGAAAACUCAGAUUAGCUUUAUUUAAAAUCAUAUUUUGUAGGACAUCACAGCCAGAAAUUGGCCCUGUGUAGGCAUCUCUCUGAGAGGAAUGUUAAAAUUGUCACAAUUGUCAUUCGAGGUGAGUUCAAGUUAUUGCUUUAAAAAUGCCUAAAGGAAUCUCUUGCCUUAAGGUUUUAUAAGUUAUUCUCAUAAGAAAAGUUAGUUUAAAAUAAGUGAACUUACACUAUGAGUCUUGAAAAUUGUUUAGCUUAUUAAAUAGUUAACUUAUGGAUAUGAAAUUCAUUAGUUUUAAAAGGUUACAAAUAUGAUUACUUCAACUAUAUAUGUAGAUAGCCAUUUGUUUACAUAUACAUACUCCUGUUCAUGUAUUCAAUACAUAUUUAUUGAGCAUCUACUUGACUCCAGGCACAUUGUUAGGACAGGAAAUAUAAUAGAAUCAAAAUAAGCAUGGCACCUGCCCUUGUAGAUCCUGUAUAGCAUGAGGAUCACUGCUAACUCCUGCUCCUGCUCUCCUGGCAGGCAUCACUAAUCAACAAAGACAUUCUCAGAGCUUGGAGCUCCUCAACUUUGUCCUCUUCAUCAGUUACUGUGAAUGAAUCAACACUGGCAUGGGAACUAAAAACAAUUUGCCAACCUAGGUGUAUUUCAAGGUGUACGUAACAUGCCAUUUAAAUUGGAUAUUUCAACCGAGAUACCCAGUUGAUAACAAGUACAGUUGAUAACAAGAAUCAAAGUAAAUUUCAACAUAGACUUCUUAAUUAAGUCAGCUUUGAAUAUUUUAUUUGGGAAUGGGUUGCGUGAUUUUGGGGGGUCUUUUUCCAGAGGCCCUGUGUCAAGAUGAAAAAAUAAAGAUAAAAAAGUGGAUCCAGGUUGGCCAAGUAUUUUGUAGAGAUAGCAUUAAGACUCUCUUUAUGGAGUCAUCUUCUUUCCACCCAAGGCUAUUGAGGGAUUCUUUCCUGGGAGACUUGGCAAGUAUGCAAUCAAAAUGCCACAGGGCACUGGUGCCACAAUCAUACUUGAGAAUGUUGAAGUGGCUUGUGUACAAGAGAACUGUGUAUGUGGGGGAAAAACUACAUCGUUACCAUUGUAAGUCAAUGGGGGUAUGAAUACUGACUGGGACCAGUAUUUUCCAAUGAAUCUUUCCAAAGAUUUUCUUUCCAGGUGAGGGGACCCCAGUGAAAGCAAGCUGAAAGGAUCACCAGGACAGAAACUGAGUUGAGAUUGGAAUCUACAGAGUCCAGAAGAACCACUGCCCAGGGGGCAGGUGUUAGAAUUGAUGGGACCCGGGGGCAAGAAACUUCAAAGACUUGCAAAAGCACCCGCACAAGGAUGUCAGCUUUAAAACAUCUGCAAGGUCUAAGAAACACAGCAUCUGCUCAUAACAACAGUGGUCAUGUAAGAAGUACAAAUAUUCUUGUCACUUUAAUACCAACCUCUCCCAACCUCCAGUUGGUGGAUGCAGAAGGAAAUAUUUCCUCCCAUUGAAGGCCACAGACUUCAGCUGAGGGGAGGAAAUCAGACUUAACUUUCAAUCAAGUGAAGACAUCAAAAAAUUAUCUGAAAGAGUACAUUUUAUACUAUUUGAGAUCAUAUUUGUUACUGGAAGAGUUACAGGCCUUUUUGCUCUCUGAAAGUGACCCCCAAAAGUUGUAGAAAUUGCAUUGUCACUCAAAAGCAGGGGAUGGACCAAAAGUAUUGAUGGACUGAAAGUGGGACUUUGGGAAACAGAAAUACAGCAGUUCAUCUUAUGAUAGCAUGUAUUUAUUGGACAACAAUUAUGCGCCAGUGUACUGGAUAUAUGUGGAUGGGAGAAAAGCAUUUUAAGCAACUGCUGACUCAUCAGGGGGUAUAGUUAAGGACUUUAUGUUCAGUGUUCUAAAGAUGAUGUGCAUAUGGGUGGAGAGAUAAUAGAUAGGGAGUGACCUAGGCAUUCUGUUCAUUUUGUGUAAUUUCUGCAAAGGUUUGGUGAAACCUUAAGCCUGUUAACUAGGGGAAGUGUUGUGAUUCUGGUCCUCUUUGUUGACUUGACCAUAUAUGAGUUUGUCCUCUUAUCUCUGUCCUAUACCAGUUUGCAUUUAAAUUGCUGGACUGAUGUGUCAUGGGUGCUAAGUUACUUUUAGAACCUUUAUUUCCUGCCUGAAAAGUUCAGUGUUUAAGUACUGAUUUUCUUCUAUUAUGUAUAUAUCUUAUAGUUUUACUAAUUUGCAUUUGAAUUUUUUUUUUUUUUUGCAAUUUGAUGGGUUUUUGCUUAAGAUUGUUACAUAAAAUGAGCUAUUAGAAAUAAAAUGAGGGACUAUUACAUAAAAGAGUCAUUUUCCUUUUCUUUCAUAUUCAAGACCAUUGGGAAGAAAUCUGGAUUCUGGUGACAAUUGUUUUGCAGGUUCUCCAGUAGGGAUGAAUGAGCAGGACUUGUGUUCUAUGCAGCAU
rnacentral:lncRNA from 1 species